rnacentral:rRNA from 1 species
GACGAGCGCUGGCGGCGUGCUUAACACAUGCAAGUCGAGCGGAAAGGCCACUUCGGUGGUACUCGAGCGGCGAACGGGUGAGUAACACGUGAGUAAUCUGCCCCUCACUCAGGGAUAACCACGGGAAGCUGUGGCUAAUACCUGAUAUGACCACGUCUCGCAUGGGGUGUGGGGGAAAGCUUUAUGUGGUGGGGGGUGUGCUCGCGGCCUAUCAGCUUGUUGGUGAGGUAGUGGCUCACCAAGGCUUCGACGGGUAGCCGGCCUGAGAGGGUGACCGGCCACACUGGGACUGAGACACGGCCCAGACUCCUACGGGAGGCAGCAGUGGGGAAUAUUGGACAAUGGGCGAAAGCCUGAUCCAGCAACGCCGCGUGAGGGAUGACGGCCUUCGGGUUGUAAACCUCUUUCACCUCUGACGAAGCGCAAGUGACGGUAAGGGGAGAAGAAGGACCGGCCAACUACGUGCCAGCAGCCGCGGUAAUAC